rnacentral:rRNA from 1 species
UACAGAGGUCUCGAGCGUUGUUCGGAUUCAUUGGGCGUAAAGGGUGCGUAGGUGGCGCUGUAAGUCGGGUGUGAAAUCCUGGGGCUUAACCCCGGAACUGCAUUCGAUACUGCAGUGCUUGAGGACUGGAGAGGAGACUGGAAUUCAUGGUGUAGCAGUGAAAUGCGUAGAGAUCAUGAGGAAGACCAGUGGCGAAGGCGGGUCUCUGGACAGUUCCUGACACUGAGGCACGAAGGCAAGGGGAGCAAACGGG